rnacentral:rRNA from 1 species
CAAACUGGGACUGAGACACGGCCCAGACUCCUACGGGAGGCAGCAGUAGGGAAUCUUUUUCCCCAAUGGACGAAAGUCUGACGGAGCAACGUUUCCGCGUGAGUGAUGAAGGUUUUCGGAUCGUAAAGCUCUGUUGUUAGGGAAGAACAAGUACCGUUCGAAUAGGGCGGUACCUUGACGGUACCUAACCAGAAAGCCACGGCUAACUACGUGCCAGCAGCCGCGGUAAUACGUAGGUGGCAAGCGUUGUCCGGGAAUUAUUGGGCGUAAAGGGCUCGCAGGCGGUUUCUUAAGUCUGAUGUGAAAGCCCCCGGCUCAAAAAA